rfam:Hepacivirus hominis isolate GT8-3 polyprotein gene, complete cds
AUACCCGUCGUAGGAGGCCCCUUAGGGGGUGUCGCUGCAGCCUUAGCUCACGGAGUGAGGGCUGUCGAGGACGGGUUAAAUUAUGCAACCGGGAAUCUCCCCGGUUGCUCCUU